GGUUUUUAUAAAUUAAUUGUCUCUACCUUAUAAAUAAAAAUUAAUUUUUAAGUGAAAAAGCUUAGAUUAAGUUAAAAGACAAGAAGACCCUAUCGAGCUUUAUAUAAAAGGAAAUUUAAAAAUAAAUUUAAUUUUUGGAAUAUUUAGUUGGGGCAACUAUGGAAAUUAUAAAAAUUCCUAAAUAAAACUGAUUGAUAAAUAAAAAGAGCCCGUUAAGGAGUGAUAAAUAAGUUACCGUAGGGAUAACAGGCUUAACUUUUUCUGAUAGUUCAAAUUGAAGAGGAAAGUUGGUACCUCGAUGUUGGCUUAAAAUUUCCUUUAGGUGUAGAAGCUUAAAUAGGAUGGUUUGUUCAACCAUUAAAAUUUU
rnacentral:rRNA from 1 species